GCCAAGGUGAAUAUCCGCCGCUCCUCCCUCGAUCUUGAGUGUUUUCUUUAGAUCUUUCAUGGUUUUAACGGGUUUUAACUUCUGUUUUGAAGAUUUGUGAGUAAAGAGCAAGUUUUGGGUAUUUGGAGGUUCAAAGAGUUCAAUCUCUCCAUCUCCAAGCUAGGAUCGUCUUCCCUCUCGUUUCUUCAAGAGGUAAGCUCGGAUCCACCCUUGUUAUGUGUUUUAAACAAGCUUUAAGUUGAUUUAUGGGUAGAAAUGCAUGUUUAGGCUUAUUGUUGAGUUUAUGGGUUUUGAUGCUUUGAUGAACAAUGUAUGUUGAUGUUUGUGUAUUUGAAGUGUUGUAGAUGGGGUAUAUGCUAGUUUG
rnacentral:lncRNA from 1 species